rnacentral:rRNA from 1 species
ACCCCGAACACGCCCAAUCUUAUCUGAUCUUAGAAGCUAAGCAGGGUC